UACGUAGGGUCCAAGCGUUAAUCGGAAUUACUGGGCGUAUAGCGUGCGCAGGCGGUUUUGUAAGUCUGACGUGAAAUCCCCGGGCUCAACCUGGGAAUUGCGUUGGAGACUGCAAGGCUAGAAUCUGGCAGAGGGGGGUAGAAUUCCACGUGUAGCAGUGAAAUGCGUAGAGAUGUGGAGGAACACCGAUGGCGAAGGCAGCCCCCUGGGUCAAGAUUGACGCUCAUGCACGAAAGCGUGGGGAGCAAACAGG
rnacentral:rRNA from 1 species